CGGAGAUGGAACAACUUCCAACUUUGUCCGACAUUUGAAGUUGCAUAAAGAACGAGCCGCCGCUAGCUGAGGUACCACAGCCAAUGCAGCCUGAGCCUAAUCCCGAGCCCAGUCCAGAGCCUGACCCUGAGCCCAUGGAGCCAGACGUGGCUGAUCCGGUACCAGAGUGAGAGUCUUCCUGCUCCUGCAGCAAGAUGUCCAGCAGGUCGCAGGAUGAUGAGUUCCCGUCACUGUGAGCCCUGUCUCCUGGAGACUCCACCUAAGACACAAGCUGCCAACUGGACUCACUCUCAGAGGUCUUCUUCUGCUCAUGUUUGGGGAGAGACGGUGACGGCGUGGGAGAUGGGGAAUGCAGGCUGAUCUGAGGGUCCUGAUUCCUGAG